CCCCUCCGAACCGCGCCGCCACCCUCCUCCUCCUCCGGGCCACGGCGCGCCGCUCUUCCCCGGCGCUGCGCCGCGCUCGCCUCACCGAAUUUAAGGCGAAGAGAAAAGAGCCAGAAAUCCCCGAGCUGGCGGCAACUGCGGCGCUGUCUCCUCUGCGACCGGAACUAACGCGAGCAGGAGGGGAGGAAGAGGCGCCACCCCCGCCCCGGAGGCCUGCUAUCGCGAGAUUUCUACCCUGCGCCAGUUCGCACUCCCCCCUGCCGAAGGCCGCGGGGUUGCAGCUCGGGGGCACCGGCUAACACCGCGGUGGACUCAAGAAUGUGCCUUUAUCACAAAGUCUCCCGAGAUAAGGACCUUCAGAAGGUGUAUUCUCCGGGACAACAGAUAAAACUGCCCGCAUCCGGAUCUCCUUCAUCCCUCUCCAGAAGAGAAGAGAAGAAACAUGGGAAAUGCCAGGUGGAGCCGUGUGAGCUUGGCUUCCUGGAAACGGAAACGGUCUGAUCAGGCCAUCCGCACCCACUCUGGGGUUGCUGGGCUCUUCACUGUGAAGUCCUCCGCUAUGUCUCUUUGUCUCCGUGCCGCAGCCACCGCAUCAACAAUGGCAAAAAACACAGAUGACCCUAGGAACAUCCCAGACUCCCCGAGGCCCUGCAAGA
rnacentral:lncRNA from 1 species